ACUGAACCUGCUGCACCAUCCGCACCAGAACCAGUAGCAGAACUACCGAAGGAAGUAGUCGCAGAGGAACCAGCGGCCAAAGAACCAGAGGUUGAAACCAAGAAAGAAGAAGAAGAGAAGAAAGAGGAACCAGAGGCAAAAGCUGAGGAUCAGCCUGAGGCUGCACCAGCAGCAGAAGAGACUCCAGAUGUGAAGCCAGCAGAGCCUGUCACUGAGGAGGAGGCCAAAGAUGAGAGUACUGAGAAAGUGACAGAGGCGCCACCAGCAGCAGACGAAGAGAAACCAGCUACGGAAGAGAAGCCAGUUGAAAAAGAGGAGGAAGCAAGCAACACAGAGGUUCCAGUGGAGAAGACUGAAGAAUGAAUAAUGGAUUGAUUAAGUGUGCAGUCUUUUGUUUUUGUCUUAAGAUUCUGCAUAUCAAAGUUGGCAAGUUCAUAUUUCUGUUUUAGUUUAUUUGAAUUUAUUAUGGUUAUUGUAAUC
rnacentral:lncRNA from 1 species